rnacentral:rRNA from 1 species
AUUGAACGCUGGCGGCAGGCCUAACACAUGCAAGUCGAACGAGUGGCGGACGGGUGCGUAAUGUCUGGGAAACUGCCUGAUGGAGUGGGAUAACUACUGGAAACGGUAGCUAAUACCGCAUACCAUCGGAUGUGCCCAUAUGGGAUUAGCUAUUAGGUGGGGUAACGGCUCACCUGGGCGCCGAUCCCUAGCUGUUCUGAGAGGAUGACCAGCCAACAUGGAAGUGAGACACGUUCCAUAGUCCUACGGGAGUCAGCAGUGGGGAAUAUUGCACAAUGGGCGCAAGCCUGAUGCAGCACUGCCGCGUGUAUGAAGAAGGCCUUCGGGUUGUAAAGUACUUUCAGCGAGGAGGCGUUACUCGCAGAAGAAGCACCGGCUAACUCCGUGCCAGCAGCCGCGGGAAUUC